GAUGAACGCUGACAGAAUGCUUAACACAUGCAAGUCGAUGGGGAAGUGGUGCUUGCACCAUGGUAACCAUGGCGGACGGGUGAGUAACGCGUAAGGAACUUGCCUGCGGGACCGGGAUAACAGCAGGAAACUGCUGACAAGACCGGAUAAGGUCAUCAAGCUGCAUAGCUUAGUGAUGAAAGGAGACGCCUGCGGAGAGCCUUGCGUCCUAUUAGCUAGUUGGAGGGGUAACGGCCCACCAAGGCGAAGAUAGGUAGCCGGCCUGAGAGGGUGGACGGCCACAAGGGGACUGAGAUACGGCCCUUACUCCUACGGGAGGCAGCAGUGGGGAAUAUUGGACAAUGGGGGCAACCCUGAUCCAGCAAUUCUGUGUGCACGAAGACGGUUUUCGGAUUGUAAAGUGCUUUCAGCAGGGAAGAAGUAAGUGACGGUACCUGCAGAAGAAGCGACGGCUAAAUACGUGCCAGCAGCCGCGGUAAUACGUAUGUCGCGAGCGUUAUCCGGAAUUAUUGGGCAUAAAGGGCAUCUAGGCGGCCUUUCAAGUCAGGGGUGAAAACCUGCGGCUCAACCGCAGGCCUGCCUUUGAAACUGAUAGGCUGGAGUACCGGAGAGGUGGACGGAACUGCACGAGUAGAGGUGAAAUUCGUAGAUAUGUGCAGGAAUGCCGAUGAUGAAGAUAGUUCACUGGACGGUAACUGACGCUGAAGUGCGAAAGCCGGGGGAGCGAACAGG
rnacentral:rRNA from 1 species